ensembl:lncRNA
GGAAGCCAACAGGUGGGGUCGCUCGUUCAAGCUCCACCAAUCAGCGAUGGCAGGCCUGGCCCGGCCUUGCGUGGCGGAGAAGCUGGGCAUCCUCUGUCGCACCUGGACGUGGUUGCGGGUCGCAGUGAUGAGGAGCUGGCCUCUGGGGUCAGAGAGGUCAGCGUCUGGAUCCCGACGCGGCCGCUUGCGGGCUGGCUGGGCUGGGGGCACGUGCCCUCCCUGGGCCCCACGCGCCUCAUCUGCAAAAGGGGGAUCCCACCCCCGGGGUGCGGCUUCGGGGAGCGCCGGGUCAGGUGGGUCCGUGGAGCGGUUAGCGCGGGCCCACUAUGAUUACUGCCGUCGCUAUUGUUCCCGCCCCCACGGACACCGAGAACCUUCUCUGCCCCCCUACGUACCUGGACACCCUGCACAUCUGGCAGUGACUCAGCUGAAUCUGUCGGGGUGAGAUGACCCUCCCUGUGCCUGCACUGGAGAGUCCCUGCAAUCCCUCGUGUCUGUCCGUGUGUGGGUGUGCAACAGACACAGGCGUUCAGAUCAGACUGUCCAAGGCACUCUCUGUGAUGAUGGGAAUGUUCCAUCACGUGUGCCGUGCACUGGAGGCCACCAGCCAUAUGUGGCUAUGGAUCACUUGCCCUGUGGCCAGUGUGAGUUUUUGAUUGCAUGUCAUGUUGAUGAAUUUUAACUGAAGUGGCCACGUGUGGCCAGCGGCAACAGCAUUGGGCAGUGUGGCUGUACACCACAGAGCUGUGGUCUCAUUUCAUUUGCUCACCCGCUCAUUCUCUCUCACUUGUGACUCAGGACAGGUUCUCCAAGCUGCCUCCCGGCCCGGUGCACAAGUGAAGGUGUGCAGCCCCAGAGGUCUCUGCCUUGGCCCCACACUGUAGACAGUGUGUCGUCUCUCGGGGGCAAAGGAUGAGUACAGAGACAGGUCUGGGGCACGUGGAAGGUGCCGUCACAGAACUGUAGGGAAGGUAGCCCUUGGGAAGGUAUGUGUGAAGUUCAGUGUCUGAUGGGCAUUUGGAGAGGCUUCACGAAAGAGGUGGUAUCUACCCAUGUGUUCAGUGAUUAUUUCUGAAACCCUGGGCCCUGGUGCUCAUUUUUAAAAGGAACCUGGAAGCUCGAGCUGUAGCUGAGCCUCCGUUUUACCCCCUCUGUGGCUUUUCAUCAACUCCUGGAAACCAUACAAAACACUUUUCUCUGUUUUGGUAUCAUCCACAAGCCCAUUAACCAACCAGCUAAGACUGAUAGGAAGUGUGCUUUCGCCACGGACCAGCCUCCCGCAUGCCCAAGGCAGGCCUGGUGGCUUUCUGGUCAACAGGACCCUGGCACUCAGGGAGGAAAGCUGUUGAGGGGAGAAGGCAAGCAGGUGCCCUCCGGAGGGUGACAGGCUGGGGGUCCCACAGAGACAAGGGCCGUCUGUCACCUGAAGACAGUCCUCUCCCUUCUCCACAUGAAAAUUAAUCAAAAGCACACUACAGACGAAGGAACAUCUCUGGCCGUCUGGUUGGAAGAACACGUAGUAUGAACGUGCAGCUGUAGAUGGGAAUGUGCUGCUGCCACCUGCCAUGGCGUGGAGGGCGGAGGCGCCUCCUGAACAGGAGGCCAGGCACAAAGGGUCACUGGGGUAGGACUCCACCUGUAUGACGUGUUCACACCAGAGCAGACAGGUGUUGGCAGGGACAGGGGCAGAGUGAGAGCCCACAGAGGCGGGAAGGAGGGUCCAGCAGAGCUUCUCUGCACUGAUCACCCCCUUUAUUCCUCUGGCCAUUCUCGUCUCUGGAAUAGGGAUCCCGAAGGUCAAAGGGCUCCAGGGAGGAGUAACUGAGAAUGUGCGGGCAAGAGUGUUUUAUCUUCCUGCCCCGAGUGUGGUGAGGGCUCAGUAAAAGGUGAUUUUUAUUAUCACUCAUGCAGCUGAUCCAAGAAAUGCAGGGGGAAGCAGUGCGGGCAGAUGGUCCCACUCCUACUGAAUGGACACGGGUAGCAGCAGUGACCGUCCCCGCUGCCUGAGGGAGCAGGGACGAAGCUGGCCCGCGCACAGGUUGUAAACCAGGAUGGUUGUUGGGAAAGGCAGUGUGGCCGCACAGACGUAUUGAGAGGCUAAAUAUGGUGGCAACGCCAGGACUCCUGCUCACUCGCAGGGUGCCAGUAAGAGGACGACUGGGGCCUCACCUACCAUGUGCAUCAGUAGGUUACGGUAAUAAGUCAGGCUACGAACCAGUGGGUACCUGUCCUUCCUCGACGGGUACAUGUGCACAGCACCUAGAAGGCCAGGCUCACGUGUCUGGUUCUCAGACUGCUCCGGGUCCCAUGUUGGAGUGUGACAACAUGGGAAGUGCCAGUCGCUGGCCCCUACACCCAAUCUCUUCCCAGUUCCUGGGUCUGUUUGGCAUCGGGAGGGACCUCGUGUAAAUGUGUGCAGACAGCCUGGCUCAUACAUUCCAACUCUGUCCGCUGUACCAGUGCCCGUUGGCCACCCCUCAGGUCGACGUCUGUGCCCACUGCUGGGGAGGUUGGACCUUGGGAGGAGAGAUCCAGACAGAAGAUCUGGAGAUGACCUUGGGGCCACUGGGGCAGGGACUGCUGGGGACCCUUCAUCAUAUGAGGAAGGAUGCAGCCAGAGGGGGAUGGAGAAACACCUGUAGCCUGAUUUGAGUGCAGCACAGCUUCAAUCCUUUCCUUAGAAUCUCUCAGAAGAAAACAAAGGGGAAGAGUUCAGCAGAAUGUAAGAGCUAUGGGCACUGCAUUAUAUAUGACACUGGAAAAACAAAUCAACCAACCCAGCCCAAUGCCUCAGAGGAGGCUGUGUUAAGACAAAGAUGGCAAAGCUAUUCAGAGAAAGUCUGCUGCCACCACCACUGGUAGAUAUGAGCACGAUACGGCAACAUGGGGGAAUGUAUGGAUGUAGGACAUUCGGUGAGGUCUGCAGCUGUGUAAACAUCUGUAUACACUGGGGAGGCCCGGGAGCCAGGCUGCAGAAAUGAGAACAGCUGCCCACAGGAGGAUCCCACUAAGAGAUUUUCCUCCCCAAAUUGUCUCCUGUGGAGAGGUGGGGACUUUGGGGCGUUGCUGGCGGGUAAGAGUAGACUCUUUGCACCAGUAUGUUUGCACACUCUGCUCACGAUAGCUGGGAUCCAUAGACAGGAACCUGCUCCCUGCCCCAUGGAAGCCAAAAAGCACUGUGGACAACUGUGCCCGCCCCAGGUUGCAGAUGUCCCUGAGCCCUCUGCCAUUCCGUGCCUUCUCCAGAUGUCAGGCCGCAUCAGGAACCAUGCGUGUGGCGCUUACCCUGGGCUCUCAGGGUGCUCUCCUCUGCGUUAACUGAGCAUUUAUCGUGUGUUGGUACCAAUUUUGCCUCGUCUCCCAGAAUCCUCGCAGCACUGCGAGGUGAGGGGGAGUGCGGGCUCUGCACGCCGGACGCCUAGCCGGACGCUGAGGAGCUGUCUGGCAUCACACGGCUGGGAAGCAGAGAAGCGAGACCUAACCUCCAAGUUAGAUUUCAGCACAUUCACCAGGAAAUCAAAAGGCAAAUGCUCCCCAUCUCUGCCGCCACCAGCUUCCCUGCAUCUCCUAGGACCGGGGGCGCCCCAUCACAGCCACAGCCCCAUAGCCGAGAGAGGGUGACAGUGCUAAUAAAUGAACAAUUGCAUUUCUGGGCA